GGGUACUAAAAACUCAGUAUUUCCCAUGAAAAUAUGACAUCUGAGCAUAAAAAUGGUUAGGGAAGAGAUUGAAAGUUGAAAUUCCUAAAAAGCACGUUUCUGAUACCAUCAUAAUGUAUGAUACACAAAAUAUUACCCCUGGCUUCAUUUAGUUUCUGGAAUGGUUUAUGAAGUUAAAAUGAAAAAAUCACUUCUCCCUCCAGAAUAUGCGGUAAUGAGUUCAUAUUGAAAUUUAAAGUCGUAAAUAUUACGGCCUUUCAGAACAUGUAUAACUGAACUUUGCUCCGAAUCAUUUUUCGUUAUUAAUGGUUUAUCGUUGGUGACAGUCAUAAAUUAAAUAACUUUAUGUAUUCCACAUUCUCCACUACCCA